rnacentral:tmRNA from 1 species
GGGGCUGAACGGUUUCGACUGUGGACGAUAGGUCCAGGGGAAGCGGGUCGAGGACCCAGGGUCAUCUCGUUAACGAUCCUUGGAAACCAAUAGGUGCCGAUACAAAGCGCACUGACUUCGCCCUCGCCGCCUGACGGCGACUAGCGAAGGGUCAGCCUGGGAACGCCUCCGUCCCAGAUCCUGGCCUCGAUAAGGAGGCUUGCUGAUCAGAUCCGGCCGCGGGUUCUGAUCGGGACAUAAACAGCGGCUGAGCCUGUCAACGACGUGUCUGCUCGAGCGUUGGGGCCGAGAAAGGCGACCAGCAGACUGCACCCGGAGAAUACCUGAGCCGUCUCCAGAGGACGCGGGUUCGAUUCCCGCCAGCUCCACGA